rnacentral:rRNA from 1 species
CCUACGGGAGGCAGCAGUGAGGAAUAUUGGACAAUGGGCGCAAGCCUGAUCCAGCCAUGCCGCGUGCAGGAAGACGCAUCUAUGGUGUGUAAACUGCUUUUGUACAGGAAGAAACACUCCCUCGUGAGGGAGCUUGACGGUACUGUAAGAAUAAGGAUCGGCUAACUCCGUGCCAGCAGCCGCGGUAAUACGGAGGAUCCAAGCGUUAUCCGGAAUCAUUGGGUUUAAAGGGUCCGUAGGCGGUUUAAUAAGUCAGUGGUGAAAUCUGGUCGCUCAACGAUCAAACGGCCAUUGAUACUGUUAGACUUGAAUUACUAGGAAGUAACUAGAAUAUGUAGUGUAGCGGUGAAAUGCUUAGAUAUUACAUGGAAUACCAAUUGCGAAGGCAGGUUACUACUAGUGGAUUGACGCUGAUGGACGAAAGCGUGGGGAGCGAACAGGAUUAGAUACCCUGGUAGUCCACGCCGUAAACGAUGGAUACUAGCUGUUGGGCGCAAGUUCAGUGGCUAAGCGAAAGUGAUAAGUAUCCCACCUGGGGAGUACGUUCGCAAGAUGAAACUUAAAGGAAUUGAGGCUGAGACGAGACGACGGACGACGACGAGGGAGGAGG